CACCGCGGUUAUACGAGAGACCCAAGUUGAUAGUCUCCGGCGUAAAGAGUGGUUAAGAUUCCCCGAAACUAAAGCCAAAUGACUCCAAAGCUGUUAUACGCGCAUGGAAGUACGAGAACCAAUCACGAAAGUAGCUUUAAGCCUCUGACCCCACGAAAGCUAUGAUA
rnacentral:rRNA from 1 species